rnacentral:rRNA from 1 species
CCUAACACAUGCAAGUCGAACGCGUCCUUCGGGACGAGUGGCAGACGGGUGAGUAACGCGUGGGAACGUACCCUUUGGUUCGGAACAACAGGCGGGAAACUGCUGCUAAUACCGGAUAAGCCCGUUCGGGGGGAAAGAUUUAUCGCCAGAGGAUCGGCCCGCGUUAGAUUAGCUUGUUGGUGAGGUAAUGGCUCACCAAGGCUACGAUCUAUAGCUGGUCUGAGAGGAUGAUCAGCCACACUGGGACUGAGACACGGCCAGACUCUUACGGGAGGCAGCAGUGGGGAAUCUUGGACAAUGGGCGAAAGCCUGAUCCAGCCAUGCCGCGUGAAUGAUGAAGGCCCUAGGGUUGUAAAAUUCUUUCGACGGGGAAGAUAAUGACGGUACCCGUAGAAGAAGCUCCGGCUAACUUCGUG